UAAACGACUCUCGGCAACGGAUAUCUCGGCUCUCGCAUCGAUGAAGAACGUAGCGAAAUGCGAUACUUGGUGUGAAUUGCAGAAUCCCGCGAACCAUUGAGUCUUUGAACGCAAGUUGCGCCCGAAGCCAUUAGGUUGAGGGCACGUCUGCCUGGGCGUCUCAC
rnacentral:rRNA from 1 species